UACAGCCCUGUGUAUGUAUGGGUAUACAGUUAUAAAGUGUGUGUGUAUAUAUAGAUACACACACACACUUUAUAACUGUAUACCCAUACAUACACAGG